rnacentral:rRNA from 1 species
UUCGCAAUGCCCGAAAGGGUGACGAAGCGACGCCGCGUGAGCGAAGAAGGCCUUAGGGUUGUAAAGCUCUGUCAAGGGUUAUGAAAUGUAGAUGGGAUAACACCCCAUUUAUUUGACAAAGGCCCAAAAGGAAGUCACGGCUAACUCUGUGCCAGCAGCCGCGGUAAUACAGAAGUGGCAAGCGUUGUUCGGAAUUAUUGGGCGUAAAGAGCACGUAGGUGGGCUUGCAAGUCAGAUGUGAAAGCCUUCUGUUCAACGGAAGAAUUGCAUCUGAAACUGCGAGUCUUGAGUGUAGGAGGGGAGAAUGGAACUUCUGGUGGAGCGGUGAAAUGCGUAGAUAUCAGAAGGAACGCCGGCGGCGAAGGCGAUUCUCUGGCCUAUUACUGACACUCAGUGUGCGAAAGCUAGGGGAGCAAACGGGAUUAGAUACCCCGGUAGUCCUAGCCGUAAACGAUGGGCACUAAGUAGAGGGGUUUU